rnacentral:rRNA from 1 species
UACGAAGGGUGCAAACGUUGCUCGGAAUUACUGGGCGUAAAGCGUGCGUAGGCGGUUCGUUAUGUCUGCUGUGAAAGCCCCGGGCUUAACCUGGGAAUGGCAGUGGAAACUGGCGGGCUUGAGUGUGGCAGAGGGGGGUGGAAUUCCGCGUGUAGCAGUGAAAUGCGUAGAGAUGCGGAGGAACACCGAUGGCGAAGGCAGCCCCCUGGGCUGACACUGACGCUGAGGCACGAAAGCGUGGGGAGCAAACAGG